rnacentral:sRNA from 1 species
CCCAUCUUUGACACUUUUUUGUAAAUAGAAAUUGCCAUGUUUUAUUGUCUUAUGUUCUCUGUUUAUUCUAGUCACAAUACUGUGUUAUUUAUCUAUGUUUUAUAUAUGCAAGAUUGCUUCUUUGAUUAACAGUAUUGUGUUUUUGUAGUUUACAUUGUGGCAUCUUUAUGUUAUAUUUUGUACUUUGUCAUUUAUUAUAUUAUUUAAUAAAUGACCAUUCUUAUUACUUAAUCAAUGUCUUGAGUUGUAUUGUGUCAAACCGAGCACCACCAUAUCAGUUAUCCAUAAAAUAUAUUUAUGAACAUAAAACAUUUAUGGAUACUGAUUCAUAUUUACCGCCAUUAACUGUAUAUAAACUGUCAGAGGUUACUAUUGCGCAUGCGCAGCUUUUAAGCGUCAUUCGCCAUUUUUAUUCAAUGUUUACAUUUAGCUCGCAAAGUUUUUCCUCCGCCCACCCCACCUCCUUGAGAUAGUUAUUCUUGUCCUUGAAGCAUUAAAUACCUCAUAUUCGACAUUGUUUUAUUGUCUUAUGUUCUCUGUUUAUUGGCGGAAGAUACCCCAUCUUUGACACUUUUUUGUAAAUAGAAAUUGCCAUGUUUUAUUGUCUUAUGUUCUCUGUUUAUUCUAGUCACAAUACUGUGUUAUUUAUCUAUGUUUUAUAUAUGCAAGAUUGCUUCUUUGAUUAACAGUAUUGUGUUUUUGUAGUUUACAUUGUGGCAUCUUUAUGUUAUAUUUUGUACUUUGUCAUUUAUUAUAUUAUUUAAUAAAUGACCAUUCUUAUUACUU